GUAUAGUCCGCAACAAGCGCAACACUUUGUUUUUAGUUGCCAGAUUUAGUUGGGCACUCUAUGGGACUGCGCGGGAUAACACGGGGGGAGGGGGGGGUGACGUCAAAUCAUCAUGGGCCUUUUGCACCGGGCUACACACGUGCUACAAUGGGGGGUACACAGGGUUGCCAACCUCCGAGGUGGAGCUAAUCCCUUAAAGCCUUUCUCAUUUCGAAUUGUGGGCUGAAACUCGCCUACAUGAAGCUGGAAUUACUAGUAAUCCCAGAUCAAAAUGCUGCGGUGAAUACGUUCCCGGGCCUUGU
rnacentral:rRNA from 1 species